CGCGCGCACUGUGCCCUGAAGGGGCCAGACACACGGGAGUGAUGCUGCGGCGUGGCGAGUGCUCUCAUCCCUGUUGGCCGUUGACCCUCCGUAUCGCGGCGAUAACCACCCGCGAGUGUUUUGUUAACGACGCCAUCCACUAUCAGAUAGCAGCAAUCUGGCCGGGGCGCUGCGAGGCGACACGUGGGAGUCAGGGGAUCGAGUUGUGACUGAAAGUAAUGUGUGACUUGUGGUUGUGAAAAGGUGAGGCCUCCACCACACCAUGAGGCUCGCCGCGCCCCUCCUCCUCUGCCUUCUCCCAGUCAUGCUGCUGGUGGGCGAGGCAGUGGGGGAGGACGGGAAGCAGAGAAAAGGGGCACAACUAGAUCAGUUCAUGGAGGAAGUGCGAGGGGCGCUUGCCAGUCAAUGGGACUUGCUGCAGAACCUUCGCUACCACACACUGAGCAUCAAGGUGCGUCUGGUCAAGCUGGAGGCGCAGGUGCAGAUCCUCGCCGACCGCCUGGACUCUGGGGGAGACAGCCAUGACGCAGACACCCGCACCUCGAGGGAGAAAGCGUCAUGUGAUGAGAACAGGAACGGGACUCUGGGUGCUGACGCAGGUGAUGAUGAUGAAGAAAGAGGAGUCACUGGAAUGGAGAACUUGUUGGAGGCCAUGAGAAAUCUCACUCAGGUGUACUCCAUCCUAGCCGACUCCAGCAGCCUGUGUGGCGGGAAGGCCUCGCCUGGGCCUGACACCACCACCACCACCACCACCACCACCACCACCACCACACCACCCACAAACAGGAAGGAGUGUACGGAGAAUGAUGAAGAAAAGGAGGAGGGAGACACUGAGCUCCGCCACAGCACUAACGUCACGGCGCGCCUCGGCUCCAAGGCUGUGCUCCGCUGCCGCCUGGACCACCUGCAGGACCCCGAGCAAGCCGUGUGGAUCAGAGUGCGCGACCAAAACUGGCUGUCGCAGGGAAGACACAUAGUAGUGGCAAAUGAAGACAGGAUCGCUGUGGACUUUGCCGACGAGGAUCUGAAGUAUUACCGCCUGUUUCUGAAGGACGUGAGGCGCGAGGACGAGGGCGCCUACGAGUGUAACCUGUCCACGACUCCUGCUGUCCGCCAAACCAUCUGGCUGACAGUUCUGGACCCAGCACCCUCACCGCCGUGCUUCAAACACUCUCCGCGCGACAGACUGGCGGUGGAGGGCCAGGACGUGACCUUCAUUUGCCGGGUCUCAGGUCACCCGCGGCCCUCCAUCACCUGGACCAGAAACAAUCUACAGGUGUCGUCCUCCGCGCGCCAUCAGAUCACUCCUGCAGGGGACUUGAUCAUAAGGGGCGUGAGGCGAGGUGACGCGGGCAGGUACGUGUGUGAAGGCGUCAAUUCUAAGGGACAAGUGGACAGCGAGGCGCUGCUGACGGUGCGCCAACCCACCAAGAUACUAAGGACGCCUCGGAACAAAGAGCUACUCGUGGGGGAAGACACAAUGUUCAGGUGCUGUGUGGUGCAGGUGUCGAGCCAAAGGGGACGAGGGGACGCCGCUACUGGUGGAGUGGCUGAAGGAUGGCGUCACUUUGAACGUCUCCGCCGACCCUACCAGCAGGAGGUUCGUCAGUUCAAACAACGCCCUGGUGAUCACCCUCGUCAAGGUGGAGGACUCGGGCGAGUACACGUGUCGCGCCUCCACCCCCUUCGAUGUGGCCUCCGCCAGUGCCACCCUCAUUGUGUGGGAAGAAGCCGACACCACCUCAGCCGCUACUACCACCACUACCACCACCACCACCACCACGACGCUCCCCCUCCAGCUGGACUACUGCCCCCCGCCCUUCGAGAGGAUCCAGAAGUUCGUGUGUGUCCUGGAGAUCACACACAUGAAGCUCAACUGGGAGGACGCCGCCGAGUACUGCAGGCGGCAGGGCGGACAGCUGGCUUGGGAGGGUGAGGGCAAACGCGUUCUACAAGACUUCCUGGAGGCGCGCUACGGCCUCAGCUGGAGUUCCACGUCGAGCAAUACACGCUGGCCAUUCUGGGUCGGCGGACGAGAGAACAACGGAGGGGAGUGGCAGUGGCUGGAUGGGUCGCCAGUGUCGCCGGGUAUCUGGGCGUCGCAGCACCGCAGGCCAUCUGAACGCCGAGCCGCCAAAGGGGACUGGUGCCUCAUGUUCGAUGGCUACCAAGGCUACCUCGCCACGGCUCUCCCCUGCCACUCCAAGCGGUACUUCCUGUGUCGCCUCAAGUGAGUCUCCAGGUGAGCAGCGAUACCUCCAUACCAUUUUGAUCUCGGAGUCUUGUUCCCUGACGAACGAGUCUCCAGUCCAGCCUCAAUGGAAAUGAAUGUCUGCAUACACUCUCUUUCGUGAGCUGUGUUUUACUAAGCUGCUAACUGAUCAUCUGCAAAGAAUGUGGGUUUUCACCUCGUUAACAGCCGUAUUUAUCUUGUGACACUCGUACUUGGCGUAAGGUUAUUUCCUUGCAUGCGUAAGCGAGAAAACUUAUAUAUACUUCAUGCCGCUUGGUGCACCACAGCGAAGAAAAUGUAAAAAAAAACUUUAUUAUUAAACUAUAAUACAUAUAU